rnacentral:rRNA from 1 species
AACGAACGCUGGCGGCACGCCUAACACAUGCAAGUCGAACGAACCCUCCGGGUUAGUGGCGCACGGGUGCGUAACGCGUGGGAAUCUGCCCUUUGCUUCGGAAUAACACAGAGAAAUUUGUGCUAAUACCGGAUAAUGUCGCAAGACCAAAGAUUUAUCGGCAAAGGAUGAGCCCGCGUAGGAUUAGCUAGUUGGUGGGGUAAUGGCCCACCAAGGCGACGAUCCUUAGCUGGUCUGAGAGGAUGAUCAGCCACACUGGGACUGAGACACGGCCCAGACUCCUACGGGAGGCAGCAGUGGGGAAUAUUGGACAAUGGGCGAAAGCCUGAUCCAGCAAUGCCGCGUGAGUGAUGAAGGCCUUAGGGUUGUAAGACUCUUUUACCCGGGUAUGAUAAUGACAGUACCGGGAGAAUAAGCUCCGGCUAACUCCGUGCCAGCAGCCGCGGU